rnacentral:rRNA from 2 species
CGACCCCAGGUCAGGCGGGAUUACCCGCUGA